GGCAAUUGUAAAUAUCCCAGCAACCAUAGAGGAAAUAGAAAGUAAAACUAUUGAUAUAAUCCAAGCGGAACAAAAAGAGAUAACCAGCCUGUCUAAAGUGGUAUUACAAAACUGAAUGGCUCUAGACAUGUUACUGGUUUCACAAGGAGGGGUUUGUUCCAUAAUCAAUGAAAGUUGCUGUUUCUACAUAGAUCAAAAUGGCAGAAUUGAAACAGAUCUGGAGGAAAUUUGGAAACAAACUGAAGUAUUUCAUGAAAUGGGCAAGGAGAAUUAUCCUCCUGGGAUGAUCAUCCUCUGUCAAUCCCCAUGUCUCCUGGGGUUUUGAAGAAAUAUGGAAAAAGUUAACUUCAUGGUUAGCUAAUCUGUCCUGGUUGAGGCAACUAGUUGCAGGAAUAUUGUUUUAAUAUUGAUUACUUGUGGUAUGAUACAAUGUUCCUUCUGGUAUUGUAAACGAUCUAUGAUAAAUUAUGAAGAUUGGAAGAGAAAUGAAAUCACACAUCAAGUAGAAACAGGAAAUUAUUUCAAAAAGUCUCUAGAUGAUAAUGGUAGUAAAGGAUUUGCAAAAGGAUUUGCGAAAGGACAGAAAAAUGGGGGAUUUGAGACAAAAAGGCACAAAAUCACAAAAUGAAAUAUAAAUCUUUGUAAAUAAGUAGAAUCAGUUCUAAGUAACAUUAAGUUUGAUGGCUUUGUAACAGUAGCAAUUCAAAAUAACUGAGGUGCAUGACUCAAAGACACAACUUCAAGCACUGCACAUCCUGACCCGCCCCUGCCAUAACACCUGCAGCAAGGAAAUGGGCUGGUCCUACCAUGGUGCUUGGCUCUGAGAUGCAACCCAGAGGAGACAAACAUGCAGGGACCACACCAGCAGCACCAUCCCUGCUACACCACACACGCAUGCACCAUGAGUGUGACACCUCCUGAGCCAUCAGCCAGGGCUGUGCCUAUGGGGAGGACAGGGAGGCAUGGGAGGUACUGUCAUUACACUUACACUUGUGCCAUCUUUACAACUGGUAUAUAAGUGGUUGGUUUUAUUUCUCCCAAAGGUACAAGACAGUGUCCUCUUCAAACGCAAAGUGCAGGCUCUGCAGCCCAAGGAGUUCCCAUGGAGAAGUUGUCACCAUGGGCCUCCCAGGUUCUGCUUGGUCCCCUUCCAGACCACCAAGGAGAUGUGAAGCUCUGUUAGGAACCUUCCAGCCUUGUGCACUGAACCACCAUUUGCCAGGGCUCACACUGAGCUUCCUAGGAUACUGAGCUGCUGCUGCUGAUUCCACUCCUGAUUCCUCCCUGUGCUGCUGUCAGUGCAGAAUUGAUGUCCAGUUUGGGACACAGGGCACAGCCAAGUCUGUUACCAUCCUCUGUGCCUUUAGCAGACAGAGGGACCAGGCUGGACCCCCAGCUCCAAGGGGACUCUGUGUGAGCUAGGGACAGGGUUUGGACUGUCCCUAGUAGCUCUGGUGGGAAGAGCUAGCUCCUUCUUCCUCUCUGGCUGGGAACUGGGUCACUGCUAAAAGCUGGGGAUGGCACCCUGUGGAUCCACAGCCAGGGCCAUUAGCCCAGCAGCAGAGUACUAGCAGGGUCUGAGCACCACCGUGGGGCUUGGUGCUGUUAGGGUGCUGCUGCUGUCACCACAAGGGGGAUGUAGGUGCUGGCUAGGAGAGGUCCUGGGAGCGAUGGGCCAGCUGGAUGACUGUGCUAAGAGAAGGAUCGUGGAGCUGCACAGGGCCGGGCUGAGUUUCCACAAGAUCAAGUAGGUGCUGGAGCUGGAUGACAUCCACGUGAUGCCGCAGGCAGUGUACCUCUUCCUCAAGUAGAAGAGCGUGGAGCCGGGGCUGGUGGCAGCUGCCUGGGACACGGACCAGCCGUAGCCUCCACUGCAAAGACAAGAGCCUAAGCUGCCCAAGCUGGCAGGUCCCUGUUCCCCUGCAGUGCCUGGCGGGGACCCACUGGUCAGCCAGGGCCCCGCAGCUGGCCCCGACACCAAGGAGGGCAACCAGCGUGUCAGCCCAACCUCACUGUGCUGGGGCAGUGGGCAGAGCAGCGAGGCCUUCCCCAUGGGGCUGCCCCCCAGGAAUGGCGAUGGCAGCUCCACAGGUGCCCUCUUGGCUCCAGGGAUCAUGGUCAGCACCCACCAGCCCCUCCCCAGCCAAGAGUGGCCGAGUGCACCCCUGGCCAGGAACCCAGCCCUCAUGGUGAAGAAGCAGCUCGUGGACAGGACGAUCAUCCUGCAGUAAAAGGUCAAAGAUGACAGCACUCAGAUGGUCCUGCUGAACCCUACGAGCCCUGGAAAUCCAAGCCUUGCUUGGGGCAGUUCAGUACUUCCUGUUGCUCCCAGUUCCCAUGCCAUUGCUGAAAAGCUGGAUGCUGUACAGACAGAGAUCCCAAAGCUGAGCCAGGCCCUGCACAUGCUGCUGCAGAGGCAGAGCCAGCUGGAGUGGCAGCAAGAGCACCAGCAGUGGCUGCAGCAGGAGGUGCUGGUGAGGCUGCAGCAGCUCAGCUCCACAGUGAGCCACAUCACAGUGCCGGCCAACCAGCCCUGCAUCCCCUUCAGCAACACAACCGAGCCCUCGCUCACCAUGCCAAGCUUCAGCCAGUUCAAGAUGGAGCUCAUCUGACCUACUGUGAUGCGAGCAACACUCUAGCAGUGCUAUGCUGAUGGUAGGAUGAAGCUGUGGAGAAGAACCACCUCCCACAGGCUGUGGCUUAAGGACUAUGGGGCAUCAAGCAGAGAAGGUCACUGGUGGCUCUUGUCCUCAGGCCUGUUGGUUGAAAGGGGCUGCCUGGCACAAGAGGCAUGGUAGUGGAAAGCUGAGGCCCCACUUUGUGCUGCCUAUCCUGGCUGAGGCUGGCUGGUGGCCCAUGGACUACGUGGGACUUUAUGGACUUCAGCAGCACAGACAGGAGGCCCACAAGGAGAUGAUGCAACUAAGAGAGAAACAGCAGGGUCUCAAAGAAGAUGCAAGGCUUCCUGUCAUGAGGGUCAGUACCAGGAUGAUCAAUCAAGGACGCUUUGUGCUCUCCCGCUGUGGGGCCUUGUUCAGUAAAAAUGUACAUAUACCACAGUUCAGAAACAGUGUGGGAUCUCUCU